ensembl:lncRNA
ACCCACAGUGCAGCUGUAUGUGGAGCAGAAGGAGGUGCAGGGUCAGGAGGAGGUGUUGGAGGGGAGCUCUGUGAGUCUGCGCUGCUCUGCUGAGACUCUCUGCUCCUCUCCUCCACCAACUCUCACAUGGAGCUCCACUCCCAGAAUCCCCCUCAGUGAGAGCAGCAGACUAGAGGAGCUCAUCUCUGAUCUGAACUUCACUGCUACUCACCGUCAGCACAGAGUCACUUUCACCUGCACUAUAACCUACCAGCUACAGGACGAGACCAAAACAGCACAGGACAGCAUCACAUUACAUGUUCAGUGUAAGAUUUUCGUGGCAUCAUUUCUUUUCUCCUCCAUCGAUGUCCAUGUAUCACAUCAUUCUCUCUUUCUCUUUUUCAGAUGCCCCUAAAAUCUCUCCAUCCUCCAGCUGUACCAGGACUGAUGUAACUGUGUGUUUCUGUGAGGCUGAUGGGAAUCCCUCUCCUGAACUGGAGUGGCAUCUGUCAGGACGUCCUGUCACUAACUCUUCAAACACGUUCAUCAGUGAAGAGCGAUUGAGCAGCACAGGCUUGAGGAGCUCCAUCACUCUUCAUCAGUCUCUCACACACACAUCCACUCUGCAGUGUGUCAGCAGAAACACUCAUGGAAAUGCAAGUCAACUCUUUCAACUGCCUUCAUCUGUUGCACGUUUGAAUCUCUCUGUGCUGAUUGGAGUUGUUGUUGUUGUGGCUUUGGUGGUCAUGAUGAUGUGUGCCAUUAUAUAUACAUGUGUACGGUAGGUGCAUGACACAUUGUGACGAGCACUCCCAGAGGAAUCAGCGUCGCCCUGGAAACCAAAGCAAAACACCUGCACGUCCUCGUCACCGGCUGAUCGGUCACAGCUGCUCCCCAUCAGCCAGCACAUUUAAAAGGAGCACAUGUUUCACUCAGAGGAGGUUCUCGAACCGAAUGCAACACUGGUCUAAUCCCCCUCUCCUUCCUUCACAGAAAGCAGCGAGUGACCGACAGCCCACACACUUUGGAGCACGUCAGGACACCCACUUUCACCUUGAUUGGCACCGAAGAGCACGGAGAGCACACGGGAAGCACCAACCAGCAGAAAGCGGAUCAGGACACUUCACCAGGCACCCUUCACUUAUCAAUAAACCCACCCUCCGGGGCA